UACAGAGGGUGCGAGCGUUAAUCGGAAUUACUGGGCGUAAAGGGUGCGUAGGCGGUUACGUAAGUUAGAUGUGAAAUCCCCGGGCUUAACCUGGGAAUUGCAUUUGAUACUGUGUGACUAGAGUAGAGUAGAGGGAAGUGGAAUUUCCGGUGUAGUGGUGAAAUGCGUAGAUAUCGGAAGGAACACCAGUGGCGAAGGCGGCUACCUGGCCUAAUACUGACACUGAGGCACGAAAGCGUGGGGAGCAAACAGG
rnacentral:rRNA from 1 species